rnacentral:rRNA from 1 species
CCUACGGGAGGCAGCAGUGGGGAAUAUUGGACAAUGGGGGGAACCCUGAUCCAGCCAUGCCGCGUGUGUGAAGAAGGCCCUCGGGUUGUAAAGCACUUCCAGUGAGGAAGAACGCCUGGUGGUUAAUACCCAUCAGGAAAGACAUCACUCACAGAAGAAGCACCGGCUAACUCCGUGCCAGCAGCCGCGGUAAUACGGAGGGUGCGAGCGUUAAUCGGAAUUACUGGGCGUAAAGCGCGCGUAGGUGGCUUGAUAAGCCGGUUGUGAAAGCCCCGGGCUCAACCUGGGAACGGCAUCCGGAACUGUCAAGCUAGAGUGCAGGAGAGGAAGGUAGAAUUCCCGGUGUAGCGGUGAAAUGCGUAGAGAUCGGGAGGAAUACCAGUGGCGAAGGCGGCCUUCUGGACUGACACUGACACUGAGGUGCGAAAGCGUGGGUAGCAAACAGGAUUAGAUACCCUGGUAGUC